rnacentral:sRNA from 1 species
AUGGCUGUCGUCAGCUCGUGUCGUGAGAUGUUGGGUUAAGUCCCGCAACGAGCGCAACCCUCGUUCUAUGUUGCCAGCGGGUUAUGCCGGGGACUCAUAGGAGACUGCCGGGGUCAACUCGGAGGAAGGUGGGGAUGACGUCAAAUCAUCAUGCCCCUUAUGUCUUGGGCUUCACGCAUGCUACAAUGGCCAGUACAAAGGGCUGCGAUGCCGUAAGGUGGAGCGAAUCCCAAAAAACUGGUCUCAGUUCGGAUCGGGGUCUGCAACUCGACCCCAUGAAGUCGGAGUCGCUAGUAAUCGCAGAUCAGCAACGCUGCGGUGAAUACGUUCCCGGGCCUUGUACACACCGCCCGUCAAGUCACGAAAGUCGGUAACACCCGAAGCCGGUGGCCCAACCCUUUACUGGGGGGGAGCCGUCGAAGGUGGGACUGGCGAUUGGGACUAAGUCGUAACAAGGUAGCCGUACCGGAAGGUGCGGCUGGAUCACCUCCUUUCUAAGGAGCACUGGCGCCGGCGAGACUGUUCUGGCCCCUUUCGGGGUUGGUGGGUUUCGCGUUGGUGGUGUCCAGGUAGCCCGGCGCGACUCGAUUGUGGUCGUGGGGGUUGCUCAAGGGUGGAACGUCGAUUAUUUGGCACUGCGCAUCUGGUGCGUUCACUAGUACCGGCUUAGUCUUUCGGGGCUGGUUGGGGAACGUGACGUAAGCUGGUGGGUGGUGUUUGGCGCGUUGUUGGGUCCUGAGGGCUCGGGCGUUUUUUGCUCGGUGCUUUCUGUUGGGCCCCUCCUGUUGGUCGUACCGUCCAUGUUCCGUAUGGGGUGUGGGGUGGCGGUCGCGUGUGGUGGGGUUCCGCCCGUAUGUUGAGAACUGCACAGUGGACGCGAGCAUCUUUGUGGCCAAGUUUUUAAGGGCGCACGGUGGAUGCCUUGGCACCAGGAACCGAAGAAGGACGUAGGAAUCUGCGAUAAGCCACGGGGAGUCGAUAACCAGACUGUGAUCCGUGGAUUUCCGAAUGGGGAAACCCGG